CAGCCGCCGCGGUAAUACGUAGGUGGCAAGCGUUGUCCGGGAUUAUUGGGCGUAAAGGGCUCGCAGGCGGUUUCUUAAGUCUGAUGUGAAAGCCCCCGGCUCAACCGGGGAGGGUCAUUGGAAACUGGGAAACUUGAGUGCAGAAGAGGAGAGUGGAAUUCCACGUGUAGCGGUGAAAUGCGUAGAGACGUGGAGGAACACCAGUGGCGAAGGCGACUCCCUGGUCUGUAACUGACGCUGAGGAGCGAAAGCGUGGGGAGCGAACAGGAUUAGAUACCCGCGUAGUCCCUGUCUCUUAUAC
rnacentral:rRNA from 1 species